rnacentral:rRNA from 1 species
UUUUUUCAGGUUGACCUCGGAUCAGGUAGGGAUACCC